GGACAACAUGGAUCCGUCGGUGGGAGGACCCGGAGUAGACGACAGAAACGGUCAGUCGUCUGCUCCACAUUCCUCUGAUAUUCCUGAACAGAUUAUAUCAGACAUGGAUUCUUCGACGGACGCUGACAAAUAUGAUACGAAUGACAAUGGCGCACAAUCAGCCGCGGCUAGGGUGGGACAGAGCGAAAGUAGCUGUGUCAACCCGGAAGCGAAACUUUUCGGAUGGUUGCAAAUCCUCACACGUGGUAUAAUCAAAACAAACAGACAACGUUUCUGCGUGUUCGGAGAUAGCACGUGCAAGCUAUAUAUUUACCGUAAUCAGCAUGAUUUUCUACCUUUGGAUGAAAUUGAUAUAUCCAGGGCUUCUUUUCAUUUUAACGCUGGAAAUACUGGAAAGCCCGGGAGUUUUGAAAUCAGGUCUGGAGGGAAGGAGCACCUCCUGGAUGCCUCUGACAGGCACUCGAUGAUGUACUGGCUACAGGAACUGCAGAAACGGCGCAGACUUUAUAACAUGGCAAGAAAUUCCCUGUCGCGCGACAGACUGGGCCAGUGGAACGUCAGGAGAACGCAGGGCAACAUUAGUGGGCUGGUUUCCAGGAAGGAUGAUAUCAACAUGGAGGUAGAGAUUGGACAGAGUGAUUUCCCUUUCAUCAAAGCACCGGCGAGUCUGCUGCUCGGACCACCGGAGGAUAACACCAUUCCCAGAAAACAGUCUGAGAGCUCCUCCCCGUCCCCUAGCCAAGAAGAACUAGUGACUCCCGAUGGAUCUACUCCUGCCCUCAGACAUGCUCACAUAUCCGCCGUCAAACCGGGGGGUAAAGUUGGCAAAUUCAAGACAGCAUUUGGGAAAGUGUUGAGUAGGAAGUCUGUGAUAAGUGACGAGGAAACAGCACCCAGCAUCUGUAACAGGUGUAAACUGCUCCAGAAACAGCUGAGCAACGCCCAGCAGGACCAGCAGGCUACGGAGGAGGAGUUACAGGCAAAUAGGGAGAUUGUCCGUCUGCUGCAGAAAGAGUUGGAUUCCAUCACCAAGGAAAUGGAAACAAGAUUCCAGAUGAGUACACAAGAUAGAGAGGGGUUCCAGGGAAUGCUGAAGGAACGAGACAAACACAUUAUAGAACUCAAGUUUGGUCUGUCCUCCAUGAAGGAAGAGAAGGAGUUAUUAGCUCAACAACUCAGGGCAAAAACAGGAAACUUAUGCAGCAUCCAGGACCAAUUAAAGAUGUUCGAAGAUAUGCUAGCUGCCAAAGACGAGACUAUCAUCAAACUUACGAACAACCUUUCUGAAGCUGAGAAAAAGGUGGCCGACGGAAAGGCCAAUGGUUUUGUAGACGUCUCUGAAGCAACGACAGUACCACCAUUAGAUUCACUCAUAUCCAACUCCACACCAGGACCUGUAUCAGACACAAGGGAAAUACAGAGACUCAAGGACAUGUGUGCUGCAUACGAAACCCAGAACAAGUUCCUUACCAACGAGAUACUGGAGCUGAAUGAUCUACGACAGCACGAUGAAGACAACGGCAAGACUCUGAUGAUGAGCUAUGCACAGCUGGAGGCAAAGUUUUAUCAAACCCACAGCAAAUAUCUUAUUCUUCUGAAGGAGUUCAAACAGCCUGUCAGAGGUGGACAGGAUGAGGUCCAGUCCCAGGAGAUGGUCACUCAACUCCUCUCAGACGCACUGGACCUGGACGAAAAUGAAGACAUGGAAUAUAAUCUGUUCACCUCCAGUGGACAGGAGCAUGACCGGUAUGGCUUCCUGAAGAAGUAUGGUGGGGAUGAAGAUGAUGAUCCCCUUAUCGCCAAGGCUACAAAACUAGAGAGGAAGUCUGAGGAGCUGUCCACCAAGAUCAAGGAAGCAGAUGAGGUCCAGUCACAUUUGGUCAAGUGGGACAACUUUAUGGUAGGCCAGACAGGAAAACCCCUUGUCAGGUCGGCCGAACUGAAGGGACUGGUACGCAUGGGGGUUCCUCAUGAGCACAGAAGUCACAUAUGGAAAGGGUGUGUGAACUUUUAUGUGAAUGACAACAGAGAUAAGUUGGGUCCACACUACUACAAGGGUCUGAUCUCACGGUCAAGUAAUACCACCCAUCACGAUCCUGCUGCCAAACAGAUAGAACUGGACUUGUUAAGAACCCUGCCGAACAACAAGUAUUACGAGAGUUCAGAUUCGGAUGGUGUAGCCAAGCUGCGACGUAUAUUAGUGGCCUACAGCCUUCAUAACCCAGUCAUUGGAUACUGUCAGGGUCUGAACAGACUGGCGGCCAUUGGUUUGCUGUUCCUAGAGGAGGAGGAAGCUUUCUGGUUAUUAGUGGCCAUUGUAGAACACAUCAUGCCAAAGGAUUAUUACAGCAGAACUCUGAUAGCGGCUCAAGCUGACCAGAGAGUUCUGAAGGACAUGGUCCAGGAUAAGUUGCCUCGUCUGUAUGCCCACUUCGAGUCCCACGAUGUCGACCUGUCACUCUUCACCUUCAACUGGUUCCUCACCAUCUUUGUAGACAACAUCCCAGUGGAGACAUUUCUCAGGGUGUGGGACGCUUACCUGUACGAGGGAAGUAAGAUGCUGUUUCGUUUUGCUGUGGCCUUUUUCAAAAUGGCAGAGGAGGAUAUUUUACAACAGGAUAGUACACUGGCAGUCAACCACUAUAUGAGAGUUAUAGGAGAGAAGAUGGUUAAUGUUCGUAAGAUUUCACAGUUCGCCUUUAACUGGAUCAACCCUUUCCCAAUGAAGAAUAUCGCCACCAAACGGCAGUUCUACCUCCAACAGCUCAGGGGUGAACUUGCGGAGCUGGAUCGCCUAAGAGAAGACAUUAGGAGCCAACGUACCACAUCUGAAUACAGAGAAUUCUUCAGUGAUGAUGAGUUAUAGCACUCUCCUUGUGCAAUGGCAAAUGUUUGUAGAGUGUUACUUCUCUAAUACGACCUCUGAGUGUUCUGUCCAAUCCAACAUAAUUCUAUAUUCACAUGUCACAUCAAAACUACCAAAUAUGACAUGUGUGUUCAACUCAGUAUCUGACUCUCUGUUUGAAGCAAGCUGGAUUCCAGUUAGACAUUCAAGAAUAUCAACCUCGCAUUGAGAUUUCUCUGUUAUUCUUCCCAUCAGGGAUGUCUGACAAUGUCCAGGAUUUACUACACCAUAGUAAGCUCAAAUGAACAAGUAAAUACAGCUUGACUGUUGGAUGUUUCAGUUGAGAAACUAUGUUGGCAAUGCCCUGAGUAUGAGAGAUUCAACACAAGAUUUAAUAGCAUUUGGAGGUUGCUCCUUCAAUAUGCUGCUGUUAAUGGCUGUUCAAUGAUGACCCCACCCUGUUGUUAUUAUGUCAAAGACAUGAUGCCAUUUUUUAUGGAUAAUAAUAGUGAUAUGUCAGUUUCCCUGCUUGGAACUUCGUGCUAAUUUUUCCCUUGUUUGGCACAAAGUGCCUGUAAAUGUAUGCAAUGGUACACCAUCUGUCUCUCGUCCAGGCUAUAUUUUUCCUUUAUACACACAACUUGAGGAUCCCUGAUGUAAUGAAACAUUAUAUCUGAUCAGUAUUGCUUGCUGGGAUGAGUUAAGGACUAUCAACUUAGUUCAACUAAAUGAUCUUGACCCAAUAUCAAGGUCACUGGGGCCAGAUAUGUUUAAAACUUCAAACAGCUUCAAAAAUAUCCAUGGCCUUGGUCUGUAGUUUGAAGGGCUAUCAAAUUUGUUCAAAUAAAUAUGACCUUUAACCACUUUGAAGGUCACAGAUGUAAAAUGUGAUUUGCAACAAGAUUCAAUAACAGGUGAGUGAUAUAUCAGGCCCAGUGGGCCUCUUGUUAAAAUGAUAAAUGCAAUGUAAAUGAACAUUAUAUUGAUAUGUGCAAUACUAUUGUAUAAACUUGUCUUGUAGCAUUUUAGAUUCGAAGCAUUCCAUUUUGAACAUAAUAUGUACUAAAUUAUGUAUUACAUUGAUUCUCAUUUUGUUGUUAGUACACAAAGGAGCCUGUAACAAUGGUUUGUACAAAAUUUAUUAAUUAUUUUAUAAGAUUUUUAAUCUACCAUAUUUUCUAACAAAUGUGUUUACAACGCAGCCUUAAUAAUCCAGCCUCCUUCAUUUCCAGCAUAAGCUUAAAGGGCUAGUAUGUCCCCUAAAACACUUAGUGGAUUAAGUAGGUUUGCCUGUAGUCUACAUAUGGCUAAUGACUUGAAGGAAUUUAUUCAGCUGAAAUCGGAUUUUAUAUAUUGAUAUAUGAUAGAGAAACUGGAUGAAGUCUAUUAGAGUUCUAUUAUAGCCAUGGAGUUUUGUAAGUUAAGUUUUUUCUGAUCCAAUAGACUGUUCUGGUGUUCAUCUCAAUUUCAGUACUUGAAUGACUGUGUUGGAGAAUGCUAGCAGUCUUAGGACUAUUUCCCACCAUACUGAUUUAAUUUGUGUAUUUUGACAAACGUCCAUAUUUACUUUCAUCAUACCAUUUCUAUGUACAUUUCUUUAAAAGAUUCUAUCUUAUAUCUUAUUCUUUAUAAUUUAUCUAUGGCAUAUGCAAAUUUUUCACAUACAUUACCAGUCAUUAUAGAGAUAUUUUUCUUGAUUGUAGUGCUAUUAUUAUUAUUAUUAAAUUCCCCACCAAAUCAAUGUAUGUAAAGCCUAUUUAUAUUAGAAACAUGAUGUAAUCGAUUAUGUCAACAAGUAUGUGAAAAAAAUUGAAGUUGUUUUUAGCUCACCUGGCCCUAAGGGCCAAGUGAGCUUAUGGCAUACCGUAGCAUCCGUCGUCUGUCAACUUUUUACAUUUUAAUCUUCUUCAAAACUACUGGGCCAAUUUUGACCAAACUUGACAUGAAACAUUACUAGGACAUGGGGAUCUGAAUUCAUGAAAUUUAUGGGGCUACGCCCCCAGGAGCCUGAGGGGCAGGGCCAAAUAGGUAAAAAAAAUGGAGUCAUCUUUGAAAAUCAUCUUCUCUACUCCUACAAGUUAUAGAGAGUAAUGGCACAUUUAAUUAUAAUCAUCAACUAGCCCUCUUUUGAAUUUAUGAAAUUUAUGGCCCAGGGGUCAAGGAGUCAAGAGGUAGGGCGGGGUCAAUAUUGUGUACUUGUUAUGUAAUUAUGUAUUUAUACAUUUAAUUUUUAUUCUUCAAAAACUACAGGGCCAAUUUUGACCAAAUUCGACUUGGAAGAUCACUAGGACAUGGGGAUCUAACUUAAUAAAAUGUAUGGGGCUGCACCACCAGGGGCCUGAGGGGUGGGGCCAAAUAGGUAAAAAAUGGAAUAAUCUUUAAAAAUCUUCUUCUCUACUCCUUCAAGUAACAGAGAGUAAUGGCACAUCAUAAUCAUCAACUGGCUCUCUUUUGAAUUUAUGAAAUUUAUGGCUCUUGGGUCAAGGGGUCAAGUGGUAUGGUGGGGUCAAUAUUGUAUGUUAUGGAUCUUUAAAACAGUUGAGAUCCCCACCCCAUUACCAUAUAUAGUAUUGCUGGGCAUCAAGAGAUAAACACAAUUAUGAUGUAAAAAUAGGCCCUGGGGUCUUUCUCCAUCCGUAGGAACUUAGUUUCUGGGUUAUAUCUUUGAAACAGUCGCGAUCCCCACCCCAUAACAAUAAAUAGCAUUGCUGGGCAUCAAGAGAUAAACACAAUCAUAAUGUAAAAAUAGGCCCUGGGGUCUUUCCCCAUGCCUAGGGACUUAGUUUCUGGGUUAUAUCUUUGAAACUGUUGAGAUCCCCACCCGAUAACCAUAUAUAGCAUUGCUGGGCAUCAAGAGAUAAACACAAUCAUGAUGUAAAAAUAGGCCCUGGGGUCUUUCUCCACCGCUAGGGACUUAGUUUCUGGUUUAUAUCUUUGAAACAGUUGAGAUCCCCACCCCAUAACCAUAUAUACAAUUGCUGAGUAUAGAAAGACGAAUGCACAUAUGCUUCCAGGAAGGCCCUGGGGUCUACCCUACCCUUGGAGACUUAACCCUGAGUCAUAACUUCGAAAUGGUUAAUAUCCCCACCCCUAAACUAUAUAUAUAAAUGCUGGGCAUAAAGAGAUGAAUGUAGUUAUGAUAUGAGAAUGGACCCCAGGGUCUGCCCAACCCUUGCAGACUUAACCCCUGGGUCAUAACUUUGAAACGGUUGAGAUCCCCACCC
rnacentral:misc_RNA from 1 species